UACGUAGGGUGCGAGCGUUAAUCGGAAUUACUGGGCGUAAAGCGUGCGCAGGCGGCUUUGCAAGACAGAUGUGAAAUCCCCGGGCUCAACCUGGGAACUGCGCUUGUGACUGCAAAGCUGGAGUGCGGCAGAGGGGGAUGGAAUUCCGCGUGUAGCAGUGAAAUGCGUAGAUAUGCGGAGGAACACCGAUGGCGAAGGCAAUCCCCUGGGCCUGCACUGACGCUCAUGCACGAAAGCGUGGGGAGCAAACAGG
rnacentral:rRNA from 1 species